AAGUCGUAACAAGGUUUCCGUAGGUGAACCUGCGGAAGGAUCAUUAUUACGUAUCCAACGUAUAAACCAAUGUGAACUGUCUCCGCUCAGACUAGGGUUAAUGGCACGUCGCAUUAAGGUCUCACUGUUAGUGAUGAGGCUGUGACGUUGUCUCCACUAGGGCUUUCGAGCUCUGUGGGACUCUUGUUCUGAAGCUGGUAUUCUCACUAACUUUAACUUUAUUAACCCAUUGCACUAUGCAUUGAACUAAUUAUGUUUCACGCUUUGUGGGUCCUUCGGGGCUAGCAGGCCUGAAAUCUAUUUACGUAACUUGAACAACUCUUAGCAACGGAUAUCUUGGCUCUC
rnacentral:misc_RNA from 1 species